UGGGUUAUCUCAACACUAUUUUGGAUACUCUGGCAUGUUUCCUACAGGGACUCAUGAUUCUCUCACCAUUGAAGAUGUGGAAGAAGUUAUUUGGCACCAGGCUAUGGAUCCUUCUGUUUCCCUUGUUGCUACCCCGAUGGCACCAACACAUCCUGCUCCUUACAUCAGAAUUGUGGAGCAGCCUGCUUCUCGGGCACUGAGGUUUAGGUAUGAAUGUGAAGGUCGGUCCGCAGGAAGCAUUCCUGGAGUAAACAGCACUGCAGACUGCAAAACCUAUCCUACAAUACAGGUUGUGAACUAUAGAGGUUCAGCAGUGGUUGUUGUUUCAUGUGUGACCAAAGAGGGUCCACCAUAUAGACCCCAUCCUCACAACUUGGUUGGACGAGAAGGCUGCAAGAAGGGCAUCUGUACUAUGGUUAUUAAUAAUCAUGAUAUGACCUGUAGCUUUCCAAGCCUCGGUAUUCAGUGCGUGAAACGGAAAGAUAUUGAAGAAUUCUUGAGGCACCGAGAAAAGAUAAAAGUGGAUCCAUAUCGAACUGGAUUUGAUCACAAGCUACAGGCAAGUAACAUAGACCUCAAUGUUGUAAGGCUAUGUUUUCAAGUUUUUAUCGAAGACCCACAAACGGGAAAAUAUACCGUUCCUCUUCCCCCGGUGGUUAGUGACCCUAUCUAUGACAAAAAGGCCAUGAGUGAACUUACAAUAAACAAACUGAGCCACUAUUCUGCCCCUGUGUCCGGAGGGACUGAGAUCAUUCUUCUGUGUGAUAAAGUUACUAAAGAUGACAUUAAAGUAAGGUUUUAUGAAGAAAGAGCAGGACAGGUGGUUUGGGAAGCUUUUGGGGAGUUUCAUCCAAAUGAAGUACAUAAACAAGUAGCAAUUUCAUUCCGCACACCUAGAUAUCAAGAUGAAAAUGUUCAGCAGCCUGUGCCUAUCUUUGUUCAACUGUAUAGACCAUCCGACAGUAGUAGUAGUGAUCCUCGACCUUUCCAGUUGCUACCAAUGGACAGAGAUCCUGAGGGUCUGAGCAGAAAACGACAAAAGAUACAAGAUGGUUGUUUAGACAGGUUUCUGAAUGAAAAUGUAUUUGUUGGCACAAUCCCAGGUGCAGAAGGUCCACUGACAAGUCAUACCAUUCCAAGAACCAUCAAGCAGGCAACAAGGACUGUCUUAAAACCAGAGUCUGCACCAGAAAGAAAACAUAUUCAACUACCAGGACCAUUCCUUCAACCACGGCGGCUGUCUCAGCACUCUACCUUCACUCCAGAUCUCCAGGCUGAUGCUACCAGUGGAAGCCUUAUUACAAUGGGAAUUGCUUCUCCACUAAACACUUGCAUAAGCUCAACCAACUCUUCUGUCAUUGAGCAUCAAGAUACAGUUAGUGUGUGUUCCCCUUAUCAUCCAAACACUUCUCAAGGUACAUCAUGUACAGAGGACAUUUUGGCAAUUGCUCCCAAGCUGGUUGAUUCUGUUCCCAAGUGUGAGCCAUCUGGUGCUAUGGAAAUACCUCAAAAUUCAGAAAUGUUUUUGGAGGAAGCUACUGAAAAACUGGACAGCUUAGAUCUUGGGAUACGUCAAAGUGACAUACAAAACAUUCUUGAUAUCAUUGGAACAGAAACUUUACCUCAUAAUCUUUCCCAGAGCCUGUUUGAUAGUGGGAACAACUUGUCUCUGACAAACCUGCCAGAAACCACCAAUGCAGAGGAUAUGAACACCUCAACAGACAGUUUUUCUCACUUGCAAAAUGAACUGGAAAUGCUGAAUGUUCUGUGCAAGUCCAGGCCAAAUGAAUCAACUUAACUUUACCAUAAGGAAUGUCAUGUUUUUGUUCCGGUGUUUGUGUUCAGUGCCCAAGAGCUAAUCUUUUCACAGCUGUGAUGUAAUUAAACUAUCCACAAAAAGAGGGAAAAAUAUACCAAUCUCAGUUGAUGCACACAUUUCCCCUCCUAUUUGAAUAUAGGUAAACAGAACUCAGAGGUUGAAUGCGUUAUAUUUAAACAGUUUUGGAGCCUCACCAUGUCAUCACAUCUAGUCAUGCUCUAUCUGAUGACCAUGCAUCUUGACAAUACCCUGGCAUGUCUAAAGCAAACCACUCAACCCUGCUUGUUUUCCAUAACCCAUCUGGUAUAUGAAUACAGCUGUUUCCCAAUACCCAUUUCAACAUCUUGAUCAUCCAUAGGUGGUACAUCUGGCAAACUAACUGGUAUUUGAUAGCAUGAAUACCUAUAUUUAAUUUUCAAGCUGCUUGAAGUAUGUGACAGUUGAACAGGAGGUAUGAUUUGGAAGCCUUACUUUGGUGAACACAUACUUUGUUAGCCUCAUUUUCAGAUGGAGAUACUUGUGUUGUAUACUAUUACCUGUAGAUGGCUUUUGCCCCUUAUUUUAGAGUUUUAUGAUUUUCACCUGUUACAGAACUCCACACUUUGCUUACCAUGACUGGAGUAUGACUUGUUAUACGAACCUUUCUGGAUAAUCCUGGUGCAUGAUCAUAUAGAAAUAAAACUUCCUUUAUUUAUUCUUUCAUUACCUACAAUCUUGGAUCUUAUGAUUAUUUAAAUCAAUUUAUCUGUAUCUUUCUUUUAUAAAACUAAUAGAAGGCAAACACGCACCCAUCAGGUCACAUUCGACCCUUGUAUUUUACUGUGCUAUUACUGGUUACUGUAAAAUGCUCACAGAUUUAUGAAGCCAUCCUUUGAGUGAAAAACUCUCCAUGACAAAAUAAAAUUAGGACUUGCUCACAUAAAGAAUACAGAGAUAGAGGGUCCUCUAUAAAUCAAUGAAUAUUAAAACUUGUCUACUUUUGAAGUUUUUUUGGUAGAGUAUUCAUGAUGAAACUUAGUUGAAUGGACGACAACUGCUUGUUGUAAUUUUAACUGACAAUGUAAGUGACAUUAAAAAUUCCAGAAAUUGUUGUUUUUUUCCAGCUCUGCCGAGCUUAAAUAAAAAAUCAUUUUAGAGGUGUUUUUCACACAUGCGCUGUAAGUAUCCAAUAUUUAGGUAAAAACUUUGUGUUUGUGUAUGCAUCUCCUUCUAAACGAGUUGACCAAUUUAGACAAAACUUGGGAUGCUAACUUAGCAGUCGAAAAGCAAACCAAAUUCAUAUUAAACUUUCCCAUAUAUUGAAAUAUAAAAAUAUUUUAUCUAUCAUUACUGCAGUAACUACUGUAAAUAGUUAAAUUUGAACAAAACUUGUACCACAACACAAUUCAAAGAUUUGUAAAUAAAGUUUUCAACAUUUUAGCUAUGUUUUCCAUAACUAAAAUAUCCAGCUACAAUGAGCUGGAUUUUUUCUGAUUCACAUCAUUUAACUUUCAGUUUAUAAUAGGGUUAGGAUAAGUGCUCAAGCCUGAUUUAGGGAAGUAUUUCAUAAUUAAAAGAUUUUUUAGGAUAUUUCUUACUUCUUGAUGUAAAAUAUGGUCUUCCAUAUUCAAGAUUAUUGAUACAUUCAAUGAGUUAAGUGUACCAAAUUCGGACAGUAGAAAUAUGCUUUGAACAAGAAGUGACAUUACUGCUUUGCUAUUUCUGCCAAAUUUCUUGGCUCGACUACUACACCUCCUCACUUCUAAUCCACUUCUCGUCUUGGAGAAUGAACGCUGCUGAAAAUCAUCACAGAUAUUUUGCUCAAGUUUAGCACAGUUGUACACAUUUUCUGCAAUUGCGAGAAAAAAAAAGUAUGGAGGAGUGCAUCUCAAAAUAAUCUGCAAAACUUUUAAGGUAAGACAUUUAAAAGUCCAUUGUAGACUAAGAGUUUACUUUUACUUGCGUAUUUUCACCGGGUUUGUCAGGCUUUCACCAAGAGCAGAGCUGGGUAUGCAAUUUGUUAUUCAAAAAACAAGUGAAACUGCAUAUCUACUUAUUUAUAUAUAUGUUACUUAAAGUAUAACUACAAUUAAAACACAAACUUCCUUUAGACUUCGUGUUGGUAAUGAUGAUUGUGAAACCAAAGUAUUGAAUUAAGAUUGUUUGAUGUCAGAUAAGCAGUAAAAUAACUGCUAUGAAAUAUCACUAUUAUGGGAAAAGGACAAUUUUUUUUCUGAAGUAACUAAAACAUGUCAACGUACAUUUCACGUAAUUGGUAAUAUAAAAGAAUAUGUAGUCUAAAGAUUUUCAUCUGUUGCUAGAUAUGUAUUAUGUCUAAAAUUUUUACUUUGAGCCCAGUAAUCUUAAGAUUUAAAAAUAUUUUCAAUACCAAAAUUAAGGACAACUGCAUGCAGAUAGUCAUUGCAGCUUUAAAUGAAAAUUCUAAAACAAAACUUUUUAUCUGUUGAUUUGAAACACAAGAGCAUUCCAAAAUAUACUGAACAGAAAUGCAUUUUUUUUCAAUAAAAAUGUUUUGGAUAGUGAAAGGCUUAGUACAAUAUUCAUAUUUGUAAACUUUUGUAGUUAGAAGUUAACUGUGUUGAACUUGAAGAUUUAUUUUUUCUAAAACCAAAACUUUGCAUUUAAAAAUGUGUUUUAUCAUUUACUUACCUUGUAGGUGACUAAACAUGUCCCCAUGUUCCCCUUAUUUCAGAUUACUUAAAAAUGUUUAAAUACUAGAAAAAUAUCAUCUAAACAUUUUAUUCUGUAAUUAUGUUUUAUUUUUUUAAGGAGAAACUUUGAAUGGAUGCUAGUGACAAAAAUUUAGUCUUCCACAACGAGCAACCUUAAAAUGGUUUACAAAAAUCACUCCUCUCCAUAAGUGGUAUGUAGCUUUUAAUAACACCUAUGCCCUAAAAGUUACUAAGCUAAAUCCAGGUUAAGUAAUUGGCACAAUGGACCACCUAAAAAAGUUGUAAUCUUUUCAAAACGAGACCCAA
rnacentral:misc_RNA from 1 species